rnacentral:rRNA from 1 species
GAUGAACGCUGGCGGCGUGCCUAAUACAUGCAAGUCGAGCGAACAGACGAGGAUCUUGCUCCUCUGACGUUAGCGGCGGACGGGUGAGUAACACGUGGAUAACCUACCUAUAAGACUGGGAUAACUUCGGGAAACCGGAGCUAAUACCGUAUAAUAUAUUUAACCGCAUGGUUCAAUAGUGAAAGACGGUUUUGCUGUCACUUAUAGAUGGCUCCUCGCCGCAUUAGCUAGUUGGUAAGGUAACGGCUUACCAAGGCAACGAUGCGUAGCCGACCUGAGAGGGUGAUCGGCCACACGGGAAGUGAGACACGGACAAGAGUACUACGGGAGGCAGCAGUAGGGAAUGUUCCGCAAUGGGCGAAAGCAUGACGGAGCAAAGCCGAGUGAGUGAUGAAGGUCUUCGGAUCGUAAAACUCUGUUAUUAGGGAAGAACAAAUGUGUAAGUAACUAUGCACGUAUUGACGGUACCUAAUCAGAAAGCAACGGCUAACUACGUG